rnacentral:rRNA from 1 species
GACGAACGCUGGCGGCGUGCCUAAUACAUGCAAGUUGAGCGAUGAAGAUUGGUGCUUGCACCAAUUUGAAGAGCAGCGAACGGGUGAGUAACGCGUGGGGAAUCUGCCUUUGAGCGGGGGACAACAUUUGGAAACGAAUGCUAAUACCGCAUAACAACUCUAAACAUAAGUUUUAAGUUUGAAAGAUGCAAUUGCAUCACUCAAAGAUGAUCCCGCGUUGUAUUAGCUAGUUGGUGAGGUAAAGGCUCACCAAGGCGAUGAUACAUAGCCGACCUGAGAGGGUGAUCGGCCACAUUGGGACUGAGACACGGCCCAAACUCCUACGGGAGGCAGCAGUAGGGAAUCUUCGGCAAUGGACGAAAGUCUGACCGAGCAACGCCGCGUGAGUGAAGAAGGUUUUCGGAUCGUAAAACCCUGUUGGUAGAGAAGAACGUUGGUGAGAGUGGAAAGCUCAUCAAGUGACGGUAACUACCCAGAAAGGGACGGCUAACUACGUG